ACGAACGCUGGCGGCGUGCCUAAUACAUGCAAGUCGAGCGGAGUUUUGAAAAGCUUGCUUUUCAAAACUUAGCGGCGGACGGGUGAGUAACACGUGGGCAACCUGCCCUUGAGACGGGGAUAACUCCGGGAAACCGGAGCUAAUACCGGAUAACACAUAUCUUCGCAUGAGGAUAUGUUAGAAGGUGGCUUUUAGCUACCACUCAAGGAUGGGCCCGCGGCGCAUUAGCUAGUUGGUGAGGUAACGGCUCACCAAGGCGACGAUGCGUAGCCGACCUGAGAGGGUGAUCGGCCACACUGGGACUGAGACACGGCCCAGACUCCUACGGGAGGCAGCAGUAGGGAAUCUUCCGCAAUGGACGAAAGUCUGACGGAGCAACGCCGCGUGAGUGAUGAAGGUUUUCGGAUCGUAAAGCUCUGUUGUUAGGGAAGAACAAGUACCUGUUGAAUAAGCAGGUACCUUGACGGUACCUAACCAGAAAGCCACGGCUAACUACGUGCCAGCAGCCGCGGUAAUACGUAGGUGGCAAGCGUUGUCCGGAAUUAUUGGGCGUAAAGCGCGCGCAGGCGGUUCCUUAAGUCUGAUGUGAAAGCCCACGGCUCAACCGUGGAGGGUCAUUGGAAACUGGGGAACUUGAGUGCAGAAGAGGAGAGCGGAAUUCCACGUGUAGCGGUGAAAUGCGUAGAGAUGUGGAGGAACACCAGUGGCGAAGGCGGCUCUCUGGUCUGUAACUGACGCUGAGGCGCGAAAGCGUGGGGAGCGAACAGGAUUAGAUACCCUGGUAGUCCACGCCGUAAACGAUGAGUGCUAAGUGUUAGAGGGUUUCGGCCCUUUAGUGCUGCAGCAAACGCAUUAGGC
rnacentral:rRNA from 1 species